UUUUUGUCCUACUAACCUUUAUUAUUUAAUAAAUAAAUAAAAGAUACUCCUCUGUUGUGAGUGUUGGGAUCGAGGGAUGGCGACAGGUGACAGGGGACCUACCUGUAAAGGACAGUUGCGGACGUUGACCUACAGAUGAACAAACCAUUUACUCGCCAACCCGAAGGGAAAACGAGAGUUGGCGAGGAUCUAUCCCCUUCAUGUUUUGCUUUGCAUUUAUAUAUGUAUACACAAAGGAUAGAGUCUCCCGGAAGCUGCUGGUUUUUCGUGUGAAUAAGUAAACAGUGGAGACCGGGCAUCCGCCUGUUAACCUUUGACCCCCACUACCAACCCCGCGCAGCUUCCUUGUCGUUUACGAGCUGCAUUGUAACUGCCUGGUCACAAACUAAACAAGUUUUGUUUGCUUUUUAUUUUUCUAGCUCUUCGUCUUUCAAGAGGAGAACGAUUACCAUGAUAUAACGAGAAGGACUGUAUGAUGCAGUUGCUGCUGGUGGUGAUGUUUACGUGAGAGAGAGAGAAGGGAAAAGAAAGUUUGCCGACAGCAUCUGCAUGGCUUCACCUUGGCGAGGCUCUGCGAGAAGACCGGUGACUGACCCUAGUAAAGGUCAUCGACCUUUCGCUACGUCAAGGUCGUCGGCAUGGCUUCAGCAGGUCAUGAUGAGGUGGGAGGAACGCGAUGCAGAUCCAUCAGGUGGGAGGAUCGCGAUGCAGAUCCAUCGGGUGGGAGGAACACGAUGCAGAUCCAUCAGGUGGGAGGAUGGCGAUGCACACCAUCUUGUAUCUGACCAACCACAUGUGCUGUAGUUGCAUUCACCAAGACGUCAGCAGCAGAUGUUCUACAUCACAACCACCCGUUUCUUCUUGAGACCGAAUACCCGGCAUGCUUUAGCCCUUCUCUAGGAACAACAAAUAUCGUGGUUUCACGUUCCUUCCGGCGGGGAUGCGAGCAGGUGCAUUUAUAUAUCAUGGAGGUUUACCGUAGGUAUAUGCAUCCACCCUUCAGAUUUCUCAAACAACUUUCGAAUCUGGAAUCCCUCUAGACGUACUCGAGAACACUAUAUGUAUAUACACUAAUGUCCAGAUGUUAGAUGUCUUCGUACAUUAACGUCAUGUGAACGGAUACCGCCAAUAGAAAGUCGAGAAACUCAGCCACCAAGAUGACCGAAAAAAGUGAGGGUGGAUUGGAGAAAAUGAAAAUAUCAGUGAAAAAGACUGCCAACGUUUAAACGAAAAAAGUCUUAAAACAACGAUAUCAUUGAUGUCCAUCGAGGUAUAAUAUACUUACAAGGGUUAGUAUUAGCGCGACCUCAAUGCUGACCCCAGUUAGAACUCUCUAGGACUUGAGAGUCUUCAUGCGAUGACUUCCGGAACACAGUUACGACCACCAACGACUGUUUUAAUAGCUGAUCGCGGAAAGCAAAGAAAAAAAAAGAGACUUGGUUAUGUGACCGGCGACAUGAGGCGUCCUCGACUUGACUAGCAUCUCUGAUACUGUUUCUUUUCUUCAGGAGAGUUAUGUGCUCUUGUCUAGACUCCGUCGUGCGUUAUUCCCGUUUUGUUGCCUUGCUAAAAGUUUUCUGCGACGCAGGAUACCACGAUCCAAAAAAAGCAGCAUUCAUUAGUCCAGACUGUUGAUACGCAGACCGAGAGGGCAGAGGUUAGUGAAAGAGUUCCCACCAUCCCCUCAGGAUGCUAUGGCUAUGCCCGAUCCUGUCCAGCCUCUCCAUUGCCGCUGUUGCUGUCGCCAUGAUGUGGGUAUCUGUCGUGGAGCUGCCUUCUUUGGAGAACGUGACUUCCAAGUAUGUAAAGCUGUUGAUUUCUUCCAGCUGUACACCGUUCAUGUAGAUAUAUCUGGGAUGGAAGUGCGAUGGAUAUGAAGUUUUUCACGCAUGAUGUUCUCCAAGACGAUGUUGAACAGUACAGCUUAUUUAGGUCUUACUCUUAACGGACGCCAACUGCCGUGAAACACAAACUUAUGAUUAAAUGAUCAAAUGACAUAAUUAUUUAAUUGCCUGAAGGAACAUUUUUAGGUGCAUUCAUUAUAGUAACUGCACAUCAUUAUGUUAAUUGCUGAGCUCACGCCCGCCCCCGGUGUCCCCCAAGAAGAGGACAGAUUGUGUGUUUGGGGGUGUGUGUGGCCGCAUCUGUAAGGCGCGUGAACAAUGUGUCAGGAAUGUGAAGGCAUGUGUUUGUAGUGUGACCUAGUUGCAUAGGCACGCUGUUGUUUUUCUUUAUUUAGCACCUGCUAACUGGGUCGGCUGCUUCGCGGAGCUUUUAGUCUGGGGUCAGCAAACUUCUAAGCAUUGGAGCGGGACGGUAAAAUACCCCAAACCCACUAGGUGACUACACAACAAACCUAGUGAUAGUGGAAUGGACAACAAAUGAGUACACAAUGGCCUUCACUUACAGAAUUUAUUGUGUAAAGUGAAGCUGCUUGAAUUCGCUCACAAUACAACUUGUUGCUCUGACAUCUUUGGCUUCAUUAAAACUGUGUAUUAUUUUUUUCAUGCCGGAAUAACUACCCUGGUAUAGUUCAAUAAAUUUGACAUUCUCUCUUCUAUUUUUCUUGCUUCACCUUCCUAUACCUCCCUUCCUUCCCAACCUGUUGCUUUCUGUGCCCUCCCUCUGUCUUCCUCUCCGACUGCGUUGGUCAGUUACAUGGACUGUAUUACGCUAGUUAAUUACCUGGACUGGAUUACGCUCCUUGAUUACGUGGACUGGAUUAUGCUCCUUGAUUACAUGGACUGGAUUAUGCUAGUUGAUUACAUGGACUGGAUUGCAUUGGUCACGAUGGCCUCUACCAGCAGAUGAAGUGCUGCUGCCUGCUGCUCUCCCCCCUGCUGCGCCAUGCAGCUGUUGAUAUGUUGCUGUUGUUGCACAGCCACCAGCCUCCCUAUUGCCUCUGAUGUGUUGGUUUGUUUAAUGAGUCACGCAGUCGGUGUUAUCUGUGAUUGUUUACCGAGCCACAAUCCCCGGGGUGUACACAUUGCCUUUAAUAUUGUAUUCUAGUGGUGCAGGCAGCGCUGUACAUGUUGCGUGUAAUGUCUAAACUAUUGUCCAUAUUACAUGUCUCUUAUUGUUCACAUAAUUUUUUUUACAUUUAUAUUAUGGCACACCUACCGGUGUCCUUAUUAGUUUUGUCAUUUAUGUUGCUGACACAUUCAUUUGUCGUAUCGUGCUUGUUAUUGUAACCGUCAGAAAAAAUCAUCACGAUGCGGUUUUGCCCCAGCCCGCAGAUGUUCCCUCUUUCUACUCUAACGGCAUUGUUUUAGAAGUGCAUUCUCUGUAUCAACAAUGACAACAAUGCAGCCUUGUCUGGCGUAACAACUGAGUCGUUCCAUAGCGAAAAACAUGUAGCAAAGCACGUGACCGGGGGUGAGCGGUAGCGCAGUUGAUGCGUUGUGAACGAGACCUGCUGAACGAGACCACGCACACACAGAGAAGAGUACACUGUAGUUCAUUCUUUAAAAAUGGUAAUUAAAAAGGACAGAUGAAAAGAGUCAACAAAAGAGAGCAGGGAAAACAUGUCAACUCGACAAGAACAUUUGUUAAAGGGAGGGAGAACAUGCGUGGUAGCGUUGUUGAGAACAUACAUAAAUAAAAAUUUAUGUAAAUGGGUAUAAGUGAAAGAGUUUAUGGGCGUGUGGGGGGUGAGGUUGGGAGGAGACAG